rnacentral:snRNA from 1 species
GUGCUUGCUUCGGCAGCACAUAUACUAAAAUUGGAAUGAUACAGAGAUUAGCGUGACCCUGCACAAGGAUGACACGCAAAUUGGUGAAGUGUUCCAUAUUUUU